UUAGGCUUUAAUAAAUGCCUUAUAUACUUAUUGUUACAGGUGAAUUGGUAGCUUCCAAGACAAAUCAAACAGCUCUGACUAUGAUCAAUCAGAAAUAGAUAAAUAAUGCACGUGGAUAAUUCUUUCCUAGCUGGAGAACUGAAGGUUGAAUGUUGUUUAAGGAGAUUCCUCUUCAAACAGGAGCAGUUUGGUUGAGUAAUGCUUCAGUUAUGGGGAAAGGGAAGGGAGACCAAUCUUUCAAUGAAGGAGAUUCAGGAUGAGCUGCAACCUUCUAAAACAAACAAGAAUGAAUUCCAAGGUUUAAACCCGUCUCAUCUCACUUCAGUCCACUUUUAUUGUACGUGUAACACCUCAGAGUCAGACCAGUUACUACCACCAACUUUACUGAGAGUAAAUUUUUUUCUACAUCUGCAUUUUUAACAUUCUUUUCCACAAUCUGUUUCCACUUUCUUUAAUAAAAGUCUCCAUGUCUGAUCCA
rnacentral:lncRNA from 1 species